rnacentral:tRNA from 1 species
GGGUCGUUAGCUCAGUUGGUAGAGCAGUUGACUUUUAAUCAAUUGGUCGCAGGUUCGAAUCCCGUCAUCACCCACCA